rnacentral:rRNA from 1 species
GAUGAACGCUGGCGGCGUGCCUAAUACAUGCAAGUCGAGCGAACGGACGAGAAGCUUGCUUCUCUGAUGUUAGCGGCGGACGGGUGAGUAACACGUGGAUAACCUACCUAUAAGACUGGGAUAACUUCGGGAAACCGGAGCUAAUACCGGAUAAUAUUUUGAACCGCAUGGUUCAAAAGUGAAAGACGGUCUUGCUGUCACUUAUAGAUGGAUCCGCGCUGCAUUAGCUAGUUGGUAAGGUAACGGCUUACCAAGGCAACGAUGCAUAGCCGACCUGAGAGGGGGAUCGGCCACACGGGAACUGGGACACGGUCCAGACGCCUAAGGGAGGCAGCAGUAGGGAAUCUUCCGCAAUGGGCGAAAGCCUGACGGAGCAGCGCCGCGUGAGUGAUAAAGGUCUUCGGAUCGUAAAACUCUGUUAUUAGGGAAGAACAUAUGUGUAAGUAACUGUGCACAUCUUGACGGUACCGAAUCAGAAAGCCACGGCUAACUACGUG